CAGUUUCAAUCAUUAACACACUACUUAAGGUGCUUGCUUACUCUACAACUGGAAAGUUGCUGAAGUUUGUGACAUGCCACUGUAAAUGUAAGGAUCGACAUCUUACCACUCGAAGAAAUGCAGAAUUGCUGCCUGAACAGAGGAAAGAUAUUCUGGAAGUAAUGACUGUGACUGGUGAAUAUUAUGAAUCACAGGUGACUUUAAGAACAGAGAAUUAUGUGUAUACCCUUCUCAGACAUGAGAAUGUGAAGA
rnacentral:lncRNA from 1 species